rnacentral:rRNA from 1 species
GGACGGGUGAGUAACACGUGAGCAACCUGCCUAUCAGAGGGGGAUAACGAUUGGAAACGAUCGCUAAUACCGCAUGACAUAGCGGAACCGCAUGGUUUUGCUAUCAAAGAUUUUAUCGCUGAUAGAUGGGCUCGCGUCCGAUUAGAUAGUUGGUGGGGUAACGGCCUACCAAGUCGACGAUCGGUAGCCGGACUGAGAGGUCGAACGGCCACAUUGGGACUGAGACACGGCCCAGACUCCUACGGGAGGCAGCAGUGGGGGAUAUUGCACAAUGGGGGAAACCCUGAUGCAGCGACGCCGCGUGAGGGAAGACGGUCCUCUGGAUUGUAAACCUCUGUCUUCGGGGACGAAACGAGACGGUACCCGAGGAGGAAGCCACGGCUAACUACGUGCCA